AGGUGAACCAGAAGCCGAGUCCUGCCUUUCAGCCCUAAUUGUUGAUGUGUGACAGCUGCUACCUGAGGAGAUAACCUUGAGAGAUUGUGGUCCUCAGAAAGUAAUAAAGACUGGAAUAGACGUGUGUGUAGCUGAUGACCUGCAGGUGCUGAUUUGUGAUUUGCUGUUUCAAGUGAUUGCAGAGUAGCUGGAUGCAGCUCAGAUAUGCACAGCAGUGACCUGAGGGACCUUCAGUGGAAGAAGAACAGCACAGCUGGCUCAGUAAUUUGUCUGGAUGUAGCCGCCCCUCUGUUAUUCCCAAACAUCAGCCCGUUCCUUUCCAGGGAUUGGAAGUCCCCAGACUGUUAUGGCAUCUGUUCAGAUUUCUGUAUACCAUAAACACACACAGACUCCACUGUUUUCCAUUUCUGUGAUUGUAUGACCUGCUAUACAGAAAAAGGGAAAACUUGCAUAAUUCCAGUCUCACAAGCUCAAUAUUACAUCCCUUUGGUUUGCUCCCAGAGCAGAUGGCAGCGGCAGAAUGUAGGUCUCUGUUGGUCUCUGUGAAGGUGAUGUUGUCUGGAAUCAGUUCAUCUGGAGCAGAAGCCAGAAAAUGUUCCUUUCACAUACACAGCCUGUGUGUUGUGAAUAGGAGCUAGAAGACUUCAAUGGGAAGAUCACAUAACUGCAGAAAUGUCAUGUACUAUUACUACUCUGCUACGCAUUAGAGCAUGUUUUUAACAUUUUGACUUUAAAAUUCUCUUAUUUCAGCUUUAGUACAGUGUAUGUGUGUGUGUGUGUGUGUGUGUGUGUGUGUGUGUGUGUGUGUGUGUGUGCGUGUGUGUGUGUGUGUGCGUGUGUGUGUGUGCAUAUUUUUUGUGAUCAUGCAGAAUGGGAAAGUUGUUUGUAAAGCAAGACCCUGCACUGCAUCUCAGGAUAACGCUUGCAGCCGGAAACGAUGUAUAAUGAAUCAAGCAUUAACGGUGGGAUGGAAAUGACACAUCUAAUCAUACGCACUGUCAGUGAACAUUACACCUACAGCACCAUGUGGAGAAUCUUCAAGUGUGUCACAGUUUAUGAAGGAGUACAUUUUGAUGUGAUACUUAUCAUAAUAUUUAUGCAGCUGUCGCAUGAGGAGUGUACAUUAAAGAAACAAAAAAAACACCCAUUUCGAACAAACUCAUCUACCAAAGAGUUUUCCUUUGAGAAAACACUUAAGAACAAGAGCUGCCAAUCUCUGGCAGAUGAAAAUUAAGUGAAGUAAACUAGCUGUUAUGGCCAGGCACUACAAUAAAGGGAAAUAUUCCUCUGGGACCACAGAUGGGUGUAGAUGCAGCACAAUUAAUUAUAAACAGUGUAAAAACUGAUAACAAUUUGACAACUACAGUAGAUAACAAGACUAAAAGUUUUGUGAUGUUGUUAUAUAAGCUCCACUAAUGCCACUUAGAAAAUGCAAUUUGCAUUGCACCGUUGACAAUUUGCCUGUGAAAUUGGUGCCUUCAAAUGAAACUCGUGAGUUUGUGUUUACAACAUGGGAAGUGAAGUUCAAGUUCAUGCUAAAUUUAAAAUUUCAUUUUUCUAACAUGAGCUUUGUAAUGACUUGAAUUACUUUUCAACCUUGCCCAUCAGCUUUAAA